rnacentral:rRNA from 1 species
ACCUGGAGAUAGCUGGUUCUCUCCGAAAUAGCUUUAGGGCUAGCCUCAAGUGAUGAUUAUUGGAGGUAGAGCACUGUUUGGACGAGGGGCCCCUCUCGGGUUACCGAAUUCAGACAAACUCCGAAUGCCAAUUAAUUUAACUUGGGAGUCAGAACAUGGGUGAUAAGGUCCGUGUUCGAAAGGGAAACAGCCCAGACCACCAGCUAAGGUCCCAAAAUAUAUGUUAAGUGGAAAAGGAUGUGGCGUUGCCCAGACAACUAGGAUGUUGGCUUAGAAGCAGCCAUCAUUUAAAGAGUGCGUAAUAGCUCACUAGUCGAGUGACACUGCGCCGAAAAUGUACCGGGGCUAAACAUAUUACCGAAGCUGUGGAUUGUCCUUUGGACAAUGGUAGGAG